UUGCCGGCGACCGGCGGACGGGUGCGUAACGCGUAUGUAACCUACCUUUGACAGGGGGAUAACAUCGAGAAAUUGGUACUAAUACCCCAUAACAUCACCGGAGGCAUCUUCGGUGGUUGAAAACUCAGGUGGUCAGAGAUGGACAUGCGUUGUAUUAGCUAGUUGGUGAGGUAACGGCUCACCAAGGCGACGAUACAUAGGGGGACUGAGAGGUCAACCCCCCACAUUGGUACUGAGACACGGACCAAACUCCUACGGAAGGCAGCAG
rnacentral:rRNA from 1 species